rnacentral:rRNA from 1 species
AGAGUUUGAUCAUGGCUCAGAUUGAACGCUGGCGGAAUGCUUUACACAUGCAAGUCGAACGGCAGCACGGGGCAACCUGGUGGCGAGUGGCGAACGGGUGAGUAAUACAUCGGAACGUGCCCAAUCGUGGGGAUAACGUAGCGAAAGUUACGCUAAUACCGCAUACGAUCUACGGAUGAAAGCGGGGGAUCGCAAGACCUCGCGCGAGUGGAGCGGCCGAUGUCAGAUUAGGUAGUUGGUGGGGUAAAGGCUCACCAAGCCAACGAUCUGUAGCUGGUCUGAGAGGACGACCAGCCACACUGGAACUGAGACACGGUCCAGACUCCUACGGGAGGCAGCAGUGGGGAAUUUUGGACAAUGGGCGCAAGCCUGAUCCAGCCAUUCCGCGUGCAGGAUGAAGGCCUUCGGGUUGUAAACUGCUUUUGUACGGAACGAAACGGCGAGCUCUAAUACAGUUUGCUAAUGACGGUACCGUAAGAAUAGGCACCGGCUAACUACGUG